GUCCCUAUCGAUUAGUGGUUAAAUCAUCACGUUGUGGUCCUCGAUGUUCCAUGGUUUCCACAUAUUCCUACAAUCCGUGAAGCCGCCGGCUCGACUCCGGCUAGGGACA